UUACGGACAUAUCACGCUGAAACACCGUUUAAUCUACGAUCACCGAAGUUAAGAAACGUCGUGCCUGGCCAGUACCUAGAUGGGUGACCCGUUGGGAAUACUAAGUGCUGUAAG